rnacentral:rRNA from 1 species
AGUGAACGCUGGCGGUAGGCCUAACACAUGCAAGUCGAACGGCAGCACAGUAAGAGCUUGCUCUUACGGGUGGCGAGUGGCGGACGGGUGAGGAAUACAUCGGACUCUACUUUUUCGUGGGGGAUAACGUAGGGAAACUUACGCUAAUACCGCAUACGACCUACGGGUGAAAGCAGGGGAUCUUCGGACCUUGCGCGAUUGAAUGAGUCGAUGUCGGAUUAGCUAGUUGGCGGGGUAAAGGCCCACCAAGGCGACGAUCCGUAGCUGGUCUGAGAGGAUGAUCGGCCACACUGGAACUGAGACACGGUCCAGACUCCUACGGGAGGCAGCAGUGGGGAAUAUUGGACAAUGGGCGCAAGCCUGAUCCAGCCAUACCGCGUGGGUGAAGAAGGCCUUCGGGUUGUAAAGCCCUUUUGUUGGGAAAGAAAAGCAGCAGGUUAAUACCCCGCUGUUCUGACGGUACCCAAAGAAUAAGCACCGGCUAACUUCGUG